UUGUUUGAUUUUAUGAAAUCAAGAAGCUCGGGAUUAAACACGGUGUUUAUUUAUAUCGAAUUUCGAUUCAAUUUAGUCAAUUCAUUAAAUUUGGACCUUAAUUGAAAUCAAUUCGGCCAUAAUUGCAAUGCAAUUGGUCAAAUGAAUUUUAAUUAGGCUAGAUUUUAAAUGCAAUUGUCUAAAUUUUCCCUUUCUGGCCAUUUAAUAAAUAGCCAAAAUAGCCUGACCUAUCCAAUCCCUAAAUUAAUUGGGAAUCUAAUCGGGGUUAUUAAAUAACCCCAAUCUUGAACCAAUUAAAUUAAUCCCAUUAAUAGGCCAAUCAACCAAAUCCCCAACAUUGACCCAACUCAAUUAAUAACCCCCGGCCCAAAACAUCCUCCUGACUCGGCCCGAUCCACCUUUAUCUUCUCCUCCACCAAUGAUACAAACACAACAACAACAGUUCGACGCCAUCAACAACCCGGCCAACUCCAAAUACCCGAUUCCAUCAACCCCAACCCAUCUAUUUUUCUUCACACGCAUCUUACGCAUCCGUAGGACAAGAAAAGGAUUCAAAAAUCUUCUAGAACGAGCUGUCCCCCCCCCCCACAACGGUUCGAUUCCGCGAUUUUCGGGUGUAAUUGUACAAUUUCGUACAUGUAUGUCACAAUUUCAUUGCCUCAUGGUGAAAAUUCAUUUUCCCCCAAUCUCAUUGGUCCACCAAUUUCAAUGCUGGUACGUUUGUUGAUGAAACCCCAAGCCAAAGGAGAAAUUCGAAUUGAAAUUCGAAGAUACCUUAUUUUUCAAGUCCCGAAAAUACCCCCAAUUCGUCUUUUAUAUAAGAAACGAUUGGGUCACUGUUUUAAAAGGAGAUUUUGGGGGGGUUCGAAACUUUGGGGUGUUCAAAAAUUCUUGAAAGGUUUUGGGGGGAUUUUUCUCUUCUUUCCAGGUUGGAGAUUCUAGAAUUGGAAAUUCUUUAGAAAAAUUCUAGGGUUAGGAACUUCAGUGCAAAAGAUUUUCUAAGAGCUAGCUAGGUCGGAAAAGGGAGGUUAGAAAAUUUCGUAGAAAUCUUGAGGUUGGAAAUCUUCGAUUCAAAAAAGCAAAGGAAAAGCACAGAAAAGAGGGGUUGAGAGAAGAGGGAACAGUUCCUUAGCAAAAAAUCUAGAGAAAGCGGUGCGCUGGUUGAGAUUUUGUUAAAGACAUCAACUUUCCGGUGGUCGUGAUCUCCCUACCCGCUCGUCGUCUCAUUUUUCUGCACUUAAAGAGGUAAAUACACCCUGUUUUCCCUUCAAUUUGACCAUUUUUCUUCUUCGUCUCUUUUUUUCGUAGCUGAUGUAGUCGUAUUCGUGAUCUUGUAUGUUGGGUUUAGCUGUUGUAGAGGUCUUGUAAGACCAUAGGAUACGUUGGAUGAAGGAAUGUUUGUCAUGUGAUUAUGUUUGAUGCUAAACUCCAGGUUCAGUCGUCAAAAAUUUUGGUUUUCAGUCUCAUUGGCGCUGUCUUAAUUUCAUAAUCGGUUAUCUAUUUUGGCAUCGCUAAUUAGCUUCCAAUUUGCUGAUUUGUAUUUUAUAUUGCUUCUAAGUUUGACUUACUGAGUUCGAUAGAGAUUCUUAUUUCAAUUUUUCGCUUGACUGGCUUGUUGAAUGUUUGUUUUGUUCGAGUAGUCGCCCUUCUGCUUAGCUGGUAAUAUCACUAGCAGGACCACUUUUGCGAGUUUCUUUGGCUUAUCAAAUGUCAAAGAGAAUGACCAAAAUGUGUCCAACAAUGAAAGGUCGCCAAGAGAUCCUAGAAUCUCCUCGACGGCCAUUUCGUUUGAGUCUAUCAAAAUAAGGAGGAGAACAAAAGAUAUUGUAUCUCAUUGGCUCCUUUCUUUAGUUUAUUGAUGUGUUUCCCUUUUAGUAAAAUUUUGAAGAUUGAUUCUUUGCUUUGGAUUCAUUUCAAGCCAGUAGUCUUGUUUGUUUGAAGUCCAUGAAAGAAUAAAAUGGCUUUGUUGAAGAAUAUUAUACAUGAGAAUGGAUUUGGUCUUGUCGAUGUCCAAAAUCAUUGCUAUGUGUGCAUUCUCCCUCAAGGAUGGCUCGUAUAUUUCUUUUAGUUAUUAAUUUCAAGGUCUAAAACUCUUGAGGUUUUGUAAGACCAUAGUUGGAGAAUAGCCGUAUUCGACUCUCAAGCUUGCUGUUUGGAAUAAUGGAAAUUCGGGAGGCUGUUUUGCACUAUCGCGACUUUAAGUAGUUUGAGGUUUAUUUGGAGUAAAAGAGGAACUUCUGGGGAUUUUCUUUUCUUGAAUUUUCUAUUAUCUAUUUUGAGGCAUUUGUUUGUAUAAUUUAACGCGACUCACGAGGUCUUUUUAAUUCGAUGAUAUUAAAAGAGACUAGGAGUUUGCCAUAGAGCUAUGAUAACAAUCCACGAAAUCUCUAAUAAACCUUGGUUUAUGUUUGUUGACACCUAAUUUUUGCCCUUCACGACGAAAUUUAAUCCUGAGUUUCUUUGAUUUUUAAUAAAAUUAAAAUAUUUAUUUCAUCCGAAUAAAAAUUUAUUAAAUAUAUUUGUACGUAAUUUUUUCAUUUUAAGUAGUGAUUAUAAUUUAUCAUAGUCAAUUAUACUAGAUGUUAUAAUUUUGUUACUUAAAUAUUUAUUUUAUAAAAUAUAAUAUUAGAUUCGAGGCUUAGAGAUUCAAAUGAUUAAAGUUUUGAUUUAAAUAUAAUUUACUCUCAAAAACUAAUUUAUUCGGAUAAAUAUGUGUUUGAUUUUAUAAAAUCAAGAAGCCUAGGAUUAAAGAAAGCAUUAAUUCGCAUCAAAUUUCAAUUUAAUUUAGUCAAUCUAUUAGAUUUGGCCAUAAUUGAAAUCAAAUUAGCCAUAAUUGUAAUGCAAUCCGUCAAUUGAUUUCUAAUUUGGUCAAAAUUAAAUAAACAUGGCUAAAUUUUUAAUCCCAAUUGGGGUUAUAUUUUAAAUAACCCCAAAAUUCUCAAAAAUUCUCAUAACUUCUACCUAAUUCCAUAAGAAAAUAAUUUCAAAUUGUACUACAUUAUACUAUUUUCCCCCAACAUUGUCUUUUCCCAAUUUUGAAAUUCAAAAGUUGUACUACAUUGUACAAUUUUCCCUCACAUUAUCUUCCACCUCACCUUAUCUUCAAUUUUAAAAUUUCAAAAAGACCCUUAAUUGAUUUUUCUCCCACAUUGGUGGAUGACAAGAAAUAAAUCCUUAUCCUUUCCUAUAAAUAUUUUUCUCCCACAUUGGUGGAAGAGAGGAAAAAAAAUUCUCAUUCUCUCCUAUAAAUACUACCAUUACUUUGGUAGAAAAGGGGGGAAAAGGAAGGAAAAAAAAAGGCUAGAAAGGUCAAAAAAUUCUUUUUGAGCAAAAUAGUUAUUUUUAUAUAGUAAAAAAUUUUGUUUCAUAGAGUUGGUCGGCUAAUCAAAAAUUUCAAUUCGCCGGAAAAUACUUUUAAAGAAAAAUAGUUAUUUUUAUAAAAUAAAAAUUUUUGUUUCAUAAAGUUGGUCGGCUAAUAAAAAAUUUCAAGUUGCCGGCGACGUUUUUUGGUGGUGGUUGAUUCCGACGAAGCUCGUAGUCUUGUUUUGCUGCCCCCAAAAAGAUAAACACAUCUUUUUUUAAAAAGUUUUUAUUAUCGUUUUCUUCUUCAUAGUUCGUAGAUAUAAUUUUGUUUGCUGGGAUUGUAUGUUAUAGAUGGCCUUAAAGACCCUAGGACGUUGUGGUAUCGAUAUUCUAAUUAUUUUCAUGUCCAUGAUAUAAAAAUGAGCUAACAAUAGUUGUAUGUGUCUCUUUUUUUUUAACUUUAUUCUUUGAUUAUUUUGGAUAAAGUUUCAAUCUUUGCUUAAAAUAUGUAUUUAUGCUUUGUUUAAACUCAUUGUUGUUGGAUAUAUUUGUUUUUAGCAUUUAAAGUUAUUUUCUUUAUGUUGAAAAGAAUAGUUAAUGUUGAAUGUUUCGCUUUUUCACCUUAUUCUUUGAUUAUUUUAGAUAAAGUUUAGAUCUUUGCUUGAAAAACAUAAUCAUGUCUUGUUUAAACUCAUUUUUGUUGAAUAUGUUUAUUUUUAGCAUGUAAAAUUAUUUUUUUUAUGUUGAAAAGAAUAGUUAAUAAUGAUUGUUUUGCCUUUUGACCUUAUUCUUUGAUUAUUUUGGAUAAAGUUUAGAUCUUUACUUGAAAAGUCAUACCCAUAUCUUGUUUAAACUCANNNNNNNNNNNNNNNNNNNNGUGCUAAAAUUAUUUUUCAUCCACGAUGUUUAUUCCUCUUUUUCGCAUGUUUUCAAAUUUGUCAAAAUGGUGAGAAAGUUCAAAUUUUUAUGGCUAAAUAGAAUUAUUUAGAUAUUUUCAAGUCAUGGAUAGUAUGAUUGUGAAACAAUAUUUCAUUUUUAGAAAUGCUAAACUUUUUUCUAAUUUUCUUGCGCCCUUUGGAUAGUUAUAUGUGCUCUUUGUGAGUGUAAAGACUUGAUUCGUGUCUCUCAUUAAUUCAUAAUAUCAAAGGACAAUCAACGAUGUCUUAGAAAUAUAAACCAUAGGUCAUAACACGUUUUUUUUCAUAAAAUUUUGGUUGUAAUUUAGAUGUAUGAAUUUUCGUUAAUGUCGCCUUAAUUGAAAUUAAAGAUUCUCUUGCUUGAAAAGUUAACCUUUAUUUUCUUUUGUUAUAUGGAUUAGUAUCUAUGUUUGUUCAAUUUUAGAAGUCAUGAGUAUUUUUCUUGUUGCCUUAUCCCUUUACUUUCGCAAGCUUACGUUGUUUGUUUCUUGNNNNNNNNNNNNNNNNNNNNNNNNNNNNAACAUAAAUGAUGAGGCAUGUAAGUGGGGGUCUUUGCUUUGCAUUUAAUUUGUUGACUCUCAUUCUUGUGCAAGUGUGCUUAUCAUUGUCAUUCAAAAUUGGUUCUUGAUAUUUUCUUUUGUUUUGAAAUAUGUCACUUUUAUGCCUUGAACGUAUAUUAAUUUCUUUAUCUUUUCUUUGCAUGCAAAAAAAAAUGUCUCGAGUCCAAAUGGAUUCCUCUCCUCUUGCAUUUUGUAAUGGGCAAUGAGGUCUACCACUUCGAGUCAAGUUCGAAGUUUAAACCCGAGGUCCACUACAUGGCGUGCGGGUGCUAGAGGAUAGACGAAGAAGGAAAAUGGGUCAAAACUCAUUGAUGAGGUCAUUAAGAGACUUGAAAAGUCUCAAUUUUUUUUAUUAUCUUCUUUUUAUUUAUUCAUUUAGUCAUUUAUUUAUUCAUUCAUUUCGGCCUCGAAGCCAAAGUUGUGUUUAAUAUAGGUGAAGCAAGACUCGAGCCAGAGGCUCGAAAAUUAGUUUAGGACAGGUAAAAUGGGUCGGAAGCCCAACUAGACUAGGACAGUUCUCGUUGAUUUGGGCUCAAUGACCUAAAUCAUUUACUUUCUCCUCCCUUCCCCUUUUAUGUGUUUAUUUAUUUAUUAGUUUUGUUUAGACUUAAUUAAAAUCCCUACUAAAUCGCCUAAAUCUAUUUUACACAAGUCUUUUAAAAAAAAAAAAAAUCACAUCACUAUUUUCACCAAAUCACUAUUUUAACAAAUUAAUCUUUUCAGAAGUUAAUCAAAAAAUGUUUUCAAACAGUCCGGAUAACUGCAAGUUAGUGAAUGUUUUAGGUGCCUAACACCUUCCUAAAACAUUAAUAGGAAUCGCUUAUCUAGAAUCUCCAACUUAAAACGAUUUUUCUGUUUUGAAUCAUUUGAAGUAACUCUCUAAAGGUUUCUUAAUUCCUUUCCAAAAUUAAGUGGCGACUCUUCUCAAAAAGUCAAAAUUUCUCAUCAAAACAAAAAUGGCGACUCUGCUGGGGAUUUGUAACUAGAUUCUAACCAAAUGUUUGAUUUCGUCUUUUGAUUAACUGUUUAUGUAUUUAUAUGUUUCGAUUCUGUAAAGUUUAACUAUCGCAUUUCAUGGCAUAUUCCUGCAUUAUUUAAACUGUUUUGGGGUUUCAUGGAUGUCCCGGCCCUGUUGUUCAAUUCCAAAAUGUGUUGGAAAUACGAACGGCUUAUUAGCAUGUGAGUCAUUUGAUGGCUGUUCGUAUUUUCUAACUCAAGUUGUCCACUUGAGAACCAAUGUUCCAACCUACUCUAGACACCUAGGAUAGAAAAAAAUCAAAACCCUAUUUUAGGCAUGAACCUAGGACGACCCAAUACCCUAGCGAGGUAUUGGGCCCAUUAGAAAAUCUGCCCUGCAUCUAUUGACCCCAAGUCAAUUAUAGACGAACCAUAUUUAUGCGUUGAAGAAAAUGUAUGCCUGGUUAAUUCAAUCCAUUAUCCUUUGGGGGUCGGGAAAAGGCUAGAUUUGCUUACUUUUGUAAGAAGAAUUGAAGCAAGUUAAGCAAGAAACUGAUCAAUUUGGUAGGUUGUAUUUAAGACACAGUUUGAACUCAACGGAUGUCACCAAUAUAAGAAAUGGAUGAAGCUAAGAAGGGGAAUUCUGAUAGAAAAAGCACUCAGGAAUUAGUAUUUUCUUAUCCCCUGUGUGGGAGCAUAUCUUCUUUUAUGUUAUUUCCCUUUUCCUAAAGAUUGUAUUCCUCUUUCGUUAUCUUUUGUAGGCAUUUAUGCCCUUUUAGUGUCUAUAAAAGUUGGGGGAUAAUGGAUUGACCUUAAGCAAGCAUAUAUUUUUUCUUCAAAAAUCGUUAGGCCCAAACCCUUGACUCAAAAGGGUCACCCAAUUAGGAUGCACGUUUAUUACAAUAUGCUUGUGUAAUAUAAUUAUUUAUGUGCUUAUACGUGUUAUGCUGAUUCGAAUCAAAGGCGAACUAAUCCAAUCCCAUUUUCCAUAGAACAUCUCUAAGUAGAAAUAUACCCCACAAUACAAAAGUCCGACUAAAAGUACUCCAAGUCUCCCAAGUUUCUCAGAAAAGUCCAUAGUCAUUCUUAAAACUUCCAAAAUGAUCGCUACCAUUUUAGGAAAGUUGACUUUAGAAUCAAAAAAAGUUGUUAUAGUUUUGAACUACGUAGGGCCUGAUUUCUCCUCCGUGAGAUACGUAGGCAGUCUUUCGUCCCGGACCAUAUCUCCAAAAGCUCUAUUUCCCUCCACUUUCUUGAAGGAAGAAGAAGAGUUGAACCUUCCUGACAAAUUCCACCUAUCCAUAUCAUUGAGCAAAAUCCUGUUCAUUGAAAUCCUCGAGUCAUCAUUAUUUCAUGGAUCAAUUCGCAUGAGAUGAGAAACAACUCUGUGUGUUUACUUCCUACCUUAUCAUCUUGGUUUACUUAUUACUAAUGGAAUCUAACACAUCAGUGUUUGAGUUGUUUUUACUUUGCAGGUAAUAGAAACUACUCUGUGUUGGCACAAAAUAACCCUACUUCACCAGAUCCAAAUGAAUAAGAGAUCCACUUCUUGACUAUAGUUUUGUUACAGGAAAAGAAAAAUGACUAGUAGUAAAACUGGACUCUACCAAUCAUUUUUCAACCUUGUAAGCGAUAGUCUCGAGGAUGGAAUAAGGGAAAAUAUGAGGAAAGAAUUUUCCAAGACAAUCGGAAUCAUGGAAGAUUAAUUGGAGGAAACAUUAUUGAAUUGGACCUCCACUCCACUCAUGACUCAUCACCCAUCGUAUAACAGUAACUUAAAACCUGCCAUUGUCAUGUCAUGUCAAGAAUAAAAAUAAUGGUAGCCCUAGAACAGUCAACAAAAGAGUCAAAGAGUUCGAGAAUCAAAGAAGCCUAAUCUAGAGGAAACCGAGGUGGUUAACUAGGAAGGCGAUGACUCCAUUGGACAUUUGAUCCUUUGUUCUAUCAAGACAAAUGCAACACAAACGUCAUGUCAUCCAUAGAAGUACUUAUUUAUGUCCUAGUAAGAUGGGUAAGAGUAUUUUUAGGGCCAUUAUGAGUUUAUGUACGAACAACAUUUGACCUGAAUUCCCAAAAAGGGAUACUUAGGCGGCCUAUGUCGGCUUCUGUCAACCCCUUAGGAAAAUUUAUCAUUUCCUUUUAUGUACAAAUUACGUUUGACCUGAAUUCCCAAAAAGGGAUACGCAGGCGGCCUAUGUCGGCUUUGGUCAACCCUUUAGGAUACUUUAUCCUUUCCUUUUAUGUAUAAACUACGUGAUGACUUGAAUUCCCAACAAAAGGGAUACGUAGGCGGCCUAUGUCGGCUUCGAUCAACCCAUUAGAUUUUUUUAUAUAUUCUUAGCGUAGUCUUGAACUAUGUUUGACCUGAUUCCUUCUUCAACGGGAUACGUAUGCACCCCAACGGCUCGGUCAUAUAAUCCCAGGAAAUGGAAAUUGGGGCAAAAUUUUUGAGAAGGAAUCUCAAAAAUUCACAAGGGAAGAUCAACAUCCAACAAGGAGAACGAAGACCAACAAAGACUUUGGAUCUUCUCGAGAUGAUAUUAUCUCAGACUACUUUAAACGGGGGCAGAAAUUUUGAUGAGGUCCUCAAAAUUUCCACUAGUAUAUUGAAAUAUAUUUCAAAUUCUCCAGCACUAGAGGUCGAAGUUGAGAUUUGAGAAUCACCACCUGUGAUAAAGUCUAGGAAAACUGAAUCUCUGUCUUUGAUAAAACUUCUUGUAGAGAGCCUCGACAAUGUUGAAUCCCUAGCAAUCCUCCAUCAAACAUUGGAAAUUGUCAGAAUUAAGAGAAAGAUAGUCGUUGAGCUAGCACAUGACAUGACUGGUAGAGAUUUUCUAAAGUUUUGCUGGAGUUUUCAAAACUAUUUUCUAAAAAUUAAGACGACUUUAAAACAUCUAUAUAAAUCUUUUACUUAAUGAUUGUCUAGGCAUCAAUUAAGAUGGGGAGUCAAGGGUGAAAGUCCCAAUAUAACGAAGUACCCAAAAGAUGGCGUAGAGAAAAUGGAGAAUCGAAGAAAGUCAACAUGGAGUAGUUUCACUCAAACUAAUCAUUUUUCUGUGGAUCGGGGACCAAUACAAAAAAAUGAGAGUCUCUUUCAAAAAUCUCCGAGCAAAUUGGGAGCCACACCAGAGCACUAAUGCUCAAGAACAAAAUUUUUGGGUAGCCCUAAAAAUGGGUUUAAUACCCAUUUAUUGAGGACCUUUUGAAUUGUCCAUCUCAUUUCUUGAGAUCAUGGAGGACAAACAAAAUUGUCUUGUUUUUUUUACAAAUAUUGUAUUUAGAAUUUUUCUAAAAUAUAUAGUCGCUAGCAAAAGCAACUUUAUGUCUACUAAUCAUCUACCUUGAGUACAGGUACAUUUAGAAAGCAAGACGCAGACAAACAAUCUCAGGUGCAACUAUUUUUAAAUUGCCAAGAGGGCCAUUCAUAUCAUUGCCAAGAGGGUCAUUUCAUAGCAUUGCCGAGAGGGCCAUUUCAUAUCAUCGCCGAGAGGGCCAUUUCAUAUCAUUGCUGAGAGGGCCAUUCAUAUCAUUACCAAGAGGUUCAUUCGUAUUAUUGCCAAGAGGGACAUUUUAUAGCAUUGCCAAGAAGGCCAUUCAUAUCAUCACCGAGAGGGCCAUUGCAUAUUAUUGCCAAGAGGGCCAUUCACAUUAUUGCCAAGAGGGUCAUUCAUAUCAUUGCCAAGAAGGCCAUUUCAUAGCAUUUCUAAGAGGGCCAUUCAAAUCAUCGCCGAGAGGGCCAUUGCAUAUUAUUAUCAAGAGGGUCAUUCAAUAUCUGUUGACACGCAAGACAUAAACACUGGCGUCGAGGAUAUCAUCAGUAUUUUAUAUCUAUUGACAUGCAAGACAUAAACACUGGCAUCGAGGAUAUCAUCACCAUUCAAUAUCUAUUGAUACUCAAGACAUAAACGCUGGCGUCGAGGAUAUCAUUAACAUUCAUUAUCUGUUGACAUGCAAGACAUAAACGUUGGCAUCAAGGAUAUCAUCAACAUUUCAUAUCUGUUGACAAGCAAGACAUAAACACUAGCGAUGAGGAUAUCAUCAACAUUUCAUAUCUGUUGACACUCAAGACAUAAAUGUUAGGGUCGAGAAUAUCAUCAGCAUUUAAUAUCUAUUGACACGCUAGACACAAACGUUGGUGUCGAGGAUAUCUCAUCAUUUUAUGAAUCAGCAUCUGAAUGCAUCAAGAGCACACGAUUUUAAGGAAUUCCUUUAAGUCGGUGUCUAAAGACGGAUGAUUUAUGAGAUUUCCUAGAAAUUGACAAUUUGAGGGUCAUCUAUAAGUCAUAUUAUUUGAAAUAGGAUAGUGUUCAAGAUCACCUAUGAGUUGAUAGCCUGUAGGUCAUCCGUAAGCAACAACAACAUCCUAACCAAAUAGUGUGGAAGAUCGCCCAAAAAUUAAUAGUUUGGAGGUUAUCCAUAAGUCGCAACUAAAUCCUUACCGGAGAAUAUGUGAGAUUAUCAAAUUAAUACGUCCAAGGGUUAUCUAUAAGCUGCAUCAUAUCCAAGAUCGAUUAUGUGCAGGAUUACCCAAGGACUACCAAUUUGAGUAAUAUCUAUAAGUCAUAUUGUAUCCAAGGUCGGAUGAUGCGCAGGAACACCUAAAAGCUAGCGAUUUGAAGGAUAUAUGUAAGCCAUCUCUUAUCCAAGGUUGGAUAAUGUGCAGGAUUAUCUAAAAGCUAGCAAUUCAAAGGAUAUCUGUAAGUCGCCUCGUAUCCGACAUCAAAUAAUGUGCAAGAUUAUCCAAGAUUGACAAUUUGAGGAAAAUCUAUAAGUUAUAUCGGUACAAAAGAUGUGCAGGACUUACCUGAGAUCAUAUGCAAAAAAUUACUAUCAAUAACCGGAGAUGUUAUCAUGCCACAUACGACAAGCACUAUAGGUGACUCAAAAGGGUUGCUACAUCAGCGCAAGAUUAAGCGGUUGCAGGGACCGUUCUGCAUAAAGUGUCGUUGAUGUCCAAGAGAGACACCCACUUUGAAGACAUAUUCAACCGAUAAAUAAGAUAAUUAUGCAACGACCAAGAGAGUUGUUGUGCCUAUUAUUGCAAGUUAUUUCCUUCUAAAUAGGUGCAUGAAAGGGAUGACUUUGCUUUUCAGGAAAUAACUCACACGGGGAUAUGGUAAAGACUAUAUACCUCUUUCGUGAAUUAUGUUUAGCACUAACACUUUUUGUUUGAAACACUGUCGAGAGCAUCCGAGAGAGUGAAAAUCUCAAAUCAAAACCACAGGGGCGGACAACUCCAGAUAGGACGCAGUACAACGUGGAACUCUUUCUUACCAGCAAAACGGAACAUAGUCUAAAGAGGGAUGUCAAACUCUUUGGAUGAGAGCUAAAGGAUGAUCACCACCACCAUCCAACCACACCCCUAUUAGAAGGCAUGUGGGUAGUUUGAGAUAUUUGGGUUUCAGCUUCACCUUUGGUAUAUCUCUAAACUCAUACCGAGGGUAAACUUUUCUUUCUUUCAAUUCGGGUGGCAACACACUUAGAGUUUUGGAAUUAUGUCCAAGUAAGUUCUUACCUAUGGAUGUGAAGGAUCCCACAUUCAUGGUUAAGAGUUUACAAGCUUCUUUUCCGCAACUCGAUCAACUUGUCACCCAUUUCGAGCCAAAGAUAGUCUAAAAUAAAAGACUAUAUUUUCUAUCGAUUGAGUCAAACUAUAGGCAGUCUGAUUCCCUGAGUCUCAGGGAUAUUUAGGCUCAGCUCUAUGUAGAAAACUCAAUUACAUUCCAACCUCCUCCCCAAAUCCCUCCAUUUCCUAGCUUUUCAGUCGACAAAAACUCUAAAAAAACUAGGAUAGCUGGUGAUUUUUUUUUGAAAAUCGUGCCUUAAAUCAAGUUUUAUGAACUACAAGUAGCCUGAAUUCUCUUGUAACCUGAGAUAUGUAGGAAACCCCACUUGGGUUCGGCCAUGACUCUAUGAGACUCAUGCAAAAGCCAACCUCUUUCAGUUUUGAAUUGUGGUCGGACAAAAAUUAGGAACGUCAACCUCCCUUUGCCCAAGGUUACUUGCAUUCACCCUACCCAAAAGGAAGGGGCAGUUGUUGACACCUAAUUUUUGCCCUCCACAACUAAAUUUAAUCAUGAGUUUCUUUGAUAAUAAAAUUAAAAUAUUUAUUUCAUCCGAAUAAAAAUUUAUGAAAUAUAUUUGUACGUAAUUUUGUCAUUUUAAGUAGUGAUUAUAAUUUAUUGUAUUCAAUUAUAUGAUAUUUUAUAAUUUUGUUAGUUAAAUAUUUAUUUUAUAAAAUAUUGGAUUUUAAUCAAGGCUUAGAGAUUCAAAUGAUUAAAGUUUUGAUUUAAAUAUAAUUUACUCUCAAAAAAUAACAAUUAUAUGAUAUUUUAUAAUUUUGUUACUUAAAUAUUUAUUUUAUAAAAUAUUGGAUUUUAAUCAAGGCUUAGAGAUUCAAAUGAUUAAAGUUUUGAUUUAAAUAUAAUUUACUCUCAAAAAAUAAUUUAUUAGGAUAAAUAUGUGUUUGAUUUUAUAAAAUCAUGAAGCCCGGGGUUAAAGGAAGCAUUAAUUCGCAUCGAAUUUCAAUUUAAUUUAGUCAAUCUAUUAGAUUUGGCCAUAAUUGAAAUCAAAAUGGUCAUAAUUGUAAUGCAAUCCGUCAAUUAAUUUCUAAUUUGGUCAAAAUUAAUAAAUAUGGCUAAAUUUUAAAUCCCAAUUGGGGUUAUAUUUUAAAUAACCCCAAAAUUCUCAAAAACUCUCAUAACUUCUACCUAAUUCCACAAAAAAAUAAUUUCAAAUAGUACUACAUUGUACUAUUUCCCCCCAACAUUGUCUUUUCCCAAUUUUAAAAUUCAAAAGUUGUACUACAUUGUACAAUUUCCCCCCACAUUAUCUUCCACCUCACCUUAUCUUCAAUUUUAAAAUUUCAAAAACACCCUUAAUUGCUUUUUCUCUCACAUUGGUGGAUGACAAGAAACAAAUCUUCAUCCUUUCCUAUAAAUACUUUUCUCCCACAUU
rnacentral:lncRNA from 1 species